rnacentral:lncRNA from 1 species
GAAGCUCCACUAAAGACUGAUUGUCUGGCAAAGUCAACUUCGCUAGCCUCUGGAAAAAACUGAUUUUCACAAGGUUAUGCAUCAAUUUCAACUGGAAGUAGUGAAGCUAAAGUAUGACAAAUUAACAAUAAAAACUUUCAUAUGAUCAUCUCUACAAAACACAAACUUUAGUAGAUAAACAUGUCUGAAGAAACGGGACACUAUAUACAUAAGGUCCACUAACAAGUGGCCACAACAUGCAUCGUUUAAGAAUUCAAGAAAUAGAAACAUUGUCUUGGAAAUCAAAACAAUGAUUUUCAAGUUAUUAAAUACAUCAGUUUCUGAUGCAAAAACUCUAUUUUUUGAAUCCUUAAACAAUACCCAUAGGACCAUAUUUAGCAUUCACCUGCACAUAAAUGAGCAAGCCAGAACUAUUUGGAGCAGUCACCAAGGAUAAAAUCUUGGGUGUAUUGAUCAUAACAGACGUUUUAACUGAGAGUCAGAGUUUGAAAGAAACUUGAAAUUGACUUUGAACUUAUUUAGAUUGUAUGCUAAAAAAUAAAAACAUCUAAAAAAAGAACAGACCCAACUGCCAAGUGAAAGAAAAACAGAGAACAUGUUGGACCAGACUGCUACCGGGGAGCCUCCAACCACCGGGGUGCGAAAGAGUUUAUAAGAAGGAAAGGCUCAUAGAACUAAAACCUUAAAGCAUUAGUUUCAUGGGUUUUUCCUACUUAUAAAGUCUUUCACUCUUCCUUGCAUAUCCAAUGUGGGACUUCACACUUAAUAAACCCAACAUAAAUAAUUAAUUUACAUGUAGAGAAAAGACUUUCAUCCAGAAAACAAGGUGAGACAUAAAGAAGAAUGAUGCUUUAAAUCAAGAAGAUUACUAUUCUUGUUCUUGUAGUGUUAUCAGAGCUAAUGACGUGGUCAUAAAGAAGAAUGAUGUUCUAAAUGAAGAAGAUUACUAUUCUUGUUCUUGUAGUUUUAUCAGAGCUAAUGAUGUGGUCAUAAAGAAGAAUGAUGUUCUAAAUCAAGAAGAUUACUAUUCUUGUUCUUGUAGUUUUCUCAGAGCUAAUGAAGCAGUCAUAAACAAGAAUGAUGCUCUAAAUCAAGAAGAUUACU